AUCACAGAGCCCCAGUAUGGAAUCACAAUGCUCCACUGUGAUGUCACAGGGCCCGAUUAUGAAAUCACAACGCUCCAUUGUGAUGUCACAGAGCAGAUUGUGAUGUCACAGAGCCCCUUUGUGACGUCACUGAGCCCCAUGAUGGAAUCACAAUGCUCCAUUGUGAUGUCACCGGGCCCGAUUAUGAAAUCACAAUGCCCCACUGUGAUGUCACAGAGCACAUUGUGACGUCACAGACCCCAUUGUGACGUCACAGAGCUGCAUUGUGACGUCACAGAGCCCCAGUAUGGAAUCACAAUGCUCCAUUGUGACGUCACAGACGGCAUUGUGAUGUCACAGAGCCCCAUUGUAACGUCACAGAGCCCCAUGAUGGAAUCACAAUGCUCCAUUGUGACAUCACAGACCCCAUUGUGACGUCACAGAGCCCCAUUGUGAAGUCACAGAACCCCACGAUGAAAUCACAAUGCUCCAUUGUGACGUCACAGGACCCCAUUGUGACGUCACAGAGCCCCAUUGUGAAGUCACAGAGUCGCCAUGAUGGUAUCACAAUGCUCCAUUGUGAUGUCACAGAGCCCCAGUAUGGAAUCACAAUGCUCCAUUGUGACAUCACAGACCCCAUUGUGACGUCACAGAGCCCCAUUGUGAAGUCACAGAACCCCAUGAUGAAAUCACAAUGCUCCAUUGUGACGUCACAGGACCCCAUUGUGACGUCACAGAGCCCAUUGUGA
rnacentral:lncRNA from 7 species